AAGAAGAAAAUAUUUUUAAAAAUAAUGUAAGAAAUAACUGCAAUGUCUUUUUUUUUCUUUUUAAACAGUGGCUGUGUGGAGUGGUGUGAAUGUGGCAGGUGUUUCUCUCCAGGAAUUGAAUCCAGAAAUGGGAACUGACAAUGAUAGUGAAAAUUGGAAGGAAGUGCAUAAGAUGGUGGUUGAAAGUGCCUAUGAAGUCAUCAAGCUAAAAGGAUAUACCAACUGGGCUAUUGGAUUAAGUGUGGCUGAUCUUAUUGAAUCCAUGUUGAAAAAUCUAUCCAGGAUUCAUCCCGUGUCAACAAUGGUAAAGGGGAUGUAUGGCAUUGAGAAUGAAGUCUUCCUGAGCCUUCCAUGUAUCCUCAAUGCCCGGGGAUUAACCAGCGUUAUCAACCAGAAGCUAAAGGAUGAUGAGGUUGCUCAGCUCAAGAAAAGUGCAGAUACCCUGUGGGACAUCCAGAAGGACCUAAAAGACCUGUGACUAGUGAGCUCUAGGCUGUAGAAAUUUAAAAACUACAAUGUGAUUAACUCAAGCCUUUAGUUUUCAUCCAUGUACAUGGAUCACAGUUUGCUUUGAUCUUCAAUAUGUGAAUUUGGGCUCACAGAAUCAAAGCCUAUGCUUGGUUUAAUGCUUGCAAUCUGAGCUCUUGAACAAAUAAAAUUAACUAUUGUAGUGUG
rnacentral:sRNA from 1 species